GGCCUGUAAAGCCUACAUGUCUCUCCAAAAUAUGCUACAAGAUCAAGAAUAUCGGUACAGACGAAACAAGUGAAACGGACAUAGGCAAUCAUUCCCCCUCCCUGCUCUCUUAUGAAAGCGAGUGUAACCUCAGUAGUCCUCACCCAUAUCAUCCGUUUCUCGUUUUUUGCUUGCUGUCUCCUUUUUCCCCUCUCCUUCGAGGGUUUCUUUUCUUUUUUCCUUUUUCCUUUUUUUUUGCCCUUUAAAUUUUUAAUUUCUUUCUCUCUGAAACCCCUAAUUGUCUAUAUAUUUGUAAGAAGAUGCAACAGCAGAGGUUGAAGCAACAACAAGCAUUAAUGCAACAAUCUCUCUACCACCCCGGUCUUCUUGCUCCUCCUCAGGUUUCUAUUCUCUUUAAUAUUUUUAUUGGAUCGUUUAAAUUAGAUUUUGGUCUUUGGAUUUAUUUAUUUAUUUGAUUUCGACAUGGAAAAAAUUUCGGUUCAUUCAUUUUGUAGAAGAUCAUGUAUGGGGCUUUUAUUUUUAGUUUCUAUGGUUUUUUUUAGGGGAAAAAAACGCGAAACGUAUAUGGGAAGUAAAUGUUUGACGAAUUAUGUUGAUUGAAUGAUUGGGGAUUCGAUUUAAACGAACUUGUUCAAGGACACAGGCAGGAGAGAGAAAAAAUAAUCAAGAGCUGAGCCUUUCUCUGCAUCUUACAUUGCUUUGCUAAGCCUUCUGGUUGGGUAUUUAACUGUUUGUGUGGUUAUGUAAAUGUUAUUUUGUUUGUCUGGGUAGUAGCAUUCUUUAUUAUCUUUUAAAGUUCUUUGUUUGCAACUAUGGUGAAAAAUGUUAUUGAAUUGUUUUAUUGCAGGUUUGUAGUUUACCCAUUUUUUCUGCUUAACAUUCUGAAGAGAAGUUGGUCAUUUCUGUUCCAUUAUUGUUUCAUGGAUUUCUAUUUUCGUGCAUGGGAGAUAUUUUUGAAGAAAAUUUGAUCCACACUUCUUAAAAUACAAUACUUGAUUACUCUUUUCCUUUACGGCAUUCAUGUAUGAUGG
rnacentral:lncRNA from 1 species